GACGAACGCUGGCGGCGUGCCUAAUACAUGCAAGUAGAACGCUGAAGGAGGAGCUUGCUUCUCUGGAUGAGUUGCGAACGGGUGAGUAACGCGUAGGUAACCUGCCUGGUAGCGGGGGAUAACUAUUGGAAACGAUAGUUAAUACCGCAUAAUAGUAGAUGUUGCAUGACAUUUGCUUAAAAGGUGCAAUUGCAUCACUACCAGAUGGACCUGCGUUGUAUUAGCUAGUUGGUGAGGUAACGGCUCACCAAGGCAACGAUACAUAGCCGACCUGAGAGGGUGAUCGGCCACACUGGGACUGAGACACGGCCCAGACUCCUACGGGAGGCAGCAGUAGGGAAUCUUCGGCAAUGGACGGAAGUCUGACCGAGCAACGCCGCGUGAGUGAAGAAGGUUUUCGGAUCGUAAAGCUCUGUUGUAAGAGAAGAACGAGUGUGAGAGUGGAAAGUUCACACUGUGACGGUAUCUUACCAGAAAGGGACGGCUAACUACGUG
rnacentral:rRNA from 1 species